UCCAAAGGUUCCGGUGAGGCGUCGCUGGGGGCGGGGCGGGGCUCGCAGCCUCCGCCUGUCUCCGAGCCGAGAACCAAAUGAAAAAUAAAAAGGCGGAAUAUUGUUUUUUUAAAUUUUGGACCGCAGUGUCCACAGGGGAGCAGGCCUGGAUUAUCUUUAAUGGCACUGGUGGCGGUUAGUUGGGGCCAGGGAAGCGUGGAGGGUGGGUUCCAAUCGAGUCAAGAAAAGCCUGGGGUGUCCUGAACUCUGCCUGCUUCCCCAGCCCUGCCAGUUUCCAGAGAAGGCGCUUGAGAAGGAGAAACGAAUCGCUGCUGCUCUUCUAAAAGCCGGUUCCCUCUCUGGUGUCUGUGGACCCUGCUUCUGAAGUACAUGAACCUUGAGGAAAAUUGACCAGUUCUAGCAGUUCUAAAAUCAUGGCUCGUGAUUUGGUGAUGUUCAGAGAUGUGGCUGUAGACUUUUCUCAGGAAGAAUGGGAAUGCCUGAACUCAUAUCAGAGGAAUUUGUACAGAGAUGUGAUAUUAGAGAACUAUAGCAACUUGGUGUCACUGGCAGGAUGUUCUAUUUCUAAGCCAGAUGUGAUCAC
rnacentral:lncRNA from 1 species